ACGACUUCCACGCUGCAGUUUAGUUCUCAAGACUUGACGGGAAAGAGGAAACAGAUACGGUCAAGAUUGAAGUCCCACGAUGGUGCUAGUGGCAUCAUUAACAUUACAAGGUCUAUAAUUCGGAAUUUCCUCAAAACAGUUAACAAGAUCAAUUCUUCAUUGUAAGUGACUCAUCAAUUUGUUUUCUGUUAAUUAGACAUCGGAGCUAUGCUGCUGCCACAAUGGAGCUUUCUCAACCU
rnacentral:lncRNA from 1 species